AGAGUUUGAUCAUGGCUCAGAAUCAACGCUGGCGGCGUGCCUCAGACAUGCAAGUCGAACGAUUAAACUUUCCUUCGGGGAAGAUAUAAAGUGGCGCACGGGUGAGUAACACGUAGGUAAUCUACCUUUGAGUGGGGAAUAACGUUCGGAAACGAACGCUAAUACCGCAUAAUGCAGCGGCACCGCAAGGUGACAGUUGUUAAAGGAGCAAUCCGCUUAAAGAGGAGCCUGCGGCAGAUUAGCUAGUUGGUAAGGUAAUGGCUUACCAAGGCGACGAUCUGUAACCGACCUGAGAGGGUGGUCGGUCACACUGACACUGAAUAACGGGUCAGACUCCUACGGGAGGCAGCAGUCGGGAAUUUUGGGCAAUGGGCGAAAGCCUGACCCAGCAACGCCGCGUGAAGGAUGAAGUAUUUCGGUAUGUAAACUUCGAAAGAAUGGGAAGAAUAAAUGACGGUACCAUUUAUAAGGUCCGGCUAACUACGUGCCAGCAGCCGCGGUAAUACGUAGGGACCAAGCGUUGUUCGGAUUUACUGGGCGUAAAGGGCGCGUAGGCGGCGUGUUAAGUCAGCUGUGAAAUCUCCGAGCUUAACUCGGAACGGUCAGCUGAUACUGAUGUGCUAGAGUGCAGAAGGGGCAAUCGGAAUUCUUGGUGUAGCGGUGAAAUGCGUAGAUAUCAAGAGGAACACCUGAGGUGAAGACGGGUUGCUGGGCUGACACUGACGCUGAGGCGCGAAAGCUAGGGUAGCAAACGGGAUUAGAUACCCCCGUAGUCC
rnacentral:rRNA from 1 species